CUCCGGCCGGCCUGCAGGGGGCGGAAAGGAGGCGGCCGGAGCUGAGAGGCCCCUCCGUCCUUGAGGAGCAAACCUGGGGCUGCGGAGAACCGGGGCUGUCUGUCUUCUCGCUUUGGGGGCCGGGCGCCCUGCCCCUCGCCCAGAAAAGCCUGGAAAUGGUGUGGGCUAUUGUUGGGAGAACCCGCCUCGCAACAGAGCUGACGUUGACCACAGCAGAGAAGCAGCUUAACCUAUCUACUGCGAUAACUCUCAUGCCUGUUGGGAUUUUUGCUGUUUUACUAUUCUAGAUUUGAAAGUGGGAAGAAGAAUUUACCAGCGAUACCACGGGCAACCUUUCCUCUAAUGCUUGAACGGCCACUAUUAGCAUAAUAGAAACAUCUUUUGGAAUCUGGGAGACAUUUUUCUUAGACCUGGGACUUUGUGUAACCUUCCUGAACCUCAAUUUCUCCAUCUGGGAAAUGGAAACAAUAACGUAUACCUUUCAAACUUGUAAAGAUUAAAGACAGUUGAUUCAUCAGAAAAUUCCAAAUUACUCUUCAAUAAGUUCUAUGUCAGAACGCAUUCCGUAUGUUCUAAGGAAUAUAAAGAUGAACAACAAGAGAAGGAUUGGUGCCAUUGCCGUUGUUUUUUUCCCCCUCCUGACAUUGUACUGGAAGUUCUCAAUGAAACAACAAAGGCAAUGGUAAUACUGAACUAUUAAAAAACAAAUAAUUAAGUUACGCUGACUUGCAGAUAAAUUAUUACCUGGAAAACUAAGAAACCGAAUAAGUAUCAGAACCAAUAAGAAAAUUGACAAUGGUAGCCAAUUAUAAUGGAAACAUUUAAAAAUCAGAAUAUUUACUUCAUGUCCACAUCAUGAAAAAAAUUACCAUGUAUCAAAUGGGUGACGAAUUAAUACUAGAUAUAUCUAAUAAAAGAACUAGAAGAAAAUGUAGACGGGCAUAUAUGACUAAGAAGACAUUUUUAAGCAUAAAAAUGAAAGAUGGAAUUGAACAGAAAAUACAUAAUCAUUUACAACUUGUGUGUUACAAAAUACACAAAACAAAAUACAAAUAGUAAAUUUCUGAAAGGUGUAUGAAAGAUUAAAGUUAAUAUUAUUUAAAAACAUUAUUCAAAGUCUUAAAGACACAAAUGACAAAAGCCAAAAGGAAAAUGUGUAUAUAUUGGAUAGAGUUCUUGAAUAAAAAGAAAUACGUAAGUCCAAUAAGCAUGUGUUUAAUUUUUUAUAUUCAAAUACAAAUUAAAAUGAGGUACUAUUUUUCAUUUGUUGAGUUUUUUGUUUUUUCUUUCUUGAGACAGGGUCUUGUGUCACUCAGGCAAGAGUGCAGUGGCACGAUCAGGGCUCACUGCAGCCUUGACCUCUUAGGCUCAAGCUAUUCUCCUGCCUCAGCCACCUGAGUAGCUGGGACUACAGGUGCCCACCGCCACGUGUGGCUCAUUUUGUGGGUGUGUAUACUUUAUGUAGAGAUAAGGUUUUGCCAUGUUCCCCGGGUUAGGAAUUACUUUUGUAAAUGUAAAAAUGUCUUUUUUUCAGGGAUACAGCAAAAUACACAAUGGUAUAUUACUGAUGGAAGUGUACUAGACAAAUUUGUCAUAAUACAGUCUGAUACUAUGUCAAAAGCCUUAAAAAUAUGCCAUUUAAAG
rnacentral:lncRNA from 1 species